rnacentral:tRNA from 1 species
GGCGGCGUGGCCGAGAGGUGAGGCAGAGGCCUGCAAAGCCUUGUACAGCGGUUCGAGUCCGCUCGCCGCCU